rnacentral:misc_RNA from 1 species
AAGUCGUAACAAGGUUUCCGUAGGUGAACCUGCGGAAGGAUCAUUAUUGAAACAUUGUAAAGGAAAGUUGAGCUGGCUCUUCACGAGCAUGUGCUUGCUUUUCUUUCAAUCUUCAUCCACCUGUGCACUUUUUGUAGAGAGUUUGAGAAAGAAAGGAUCGCAAGGUCUUUCAAGUAUCAAGCUUUCUAUGUAUUUACAAACUCUGAAUGUAUGUCGUUGAAUGUCUUUUACAAGGUACUUAACUGGACCUUUUAAAAACUAUACAACUUUCAGCAACGGAUCUCUUGGCUCUC